rnacentral:sRNA from 1 species
AAGAAAAUGAUUUCACAAAAAUAGAGUGUUCAUGUAGUUGCAUUUCAUUUAGGAUCGAGUCUAGAGUGUUUCAUUUAGGAUUGUUGCAUAUGCAUAGGGGAUAAUGAUGAGAUAGCCUUGUAAGCAUUUUGGUUCACCGGAUAAACUCAGUGCCCUCGUUGCUAGUUGUCUGUUGCGUAGUCAAUGAAAUUGAAGUAAAACUGAACCAUGCCUAGAUUGCUCUACUCGACCACACUGUCAUGAUCUGAUACCAUUCCCUAUCAAUUUGAACCUGAAUUUGAU